AUGAACGCUAGCGGCAGGCUUAAUACAUGCAAGUCGAGGGGCAUCAAGGUACACGAAAGUGUAUUGUUGGCGACCGGCGGACGGGUGAGUAAUAGGUAGGUAACCUACCUCAUACUGAGGCAUAGCUGGGAGAAAUUCCAGGUAAUUCCUCAUGAGGUUAUAUGACACAUGUGAUUAUAAUCAAAGGUAUCGCAAGGUACUGGUAUGAGAUGGGCUUACUGACCAUUAGCUAGUUGGUGAGAUAAGAGCUCACCAAGGCGAAGAUGGUUAGGGGUUUUGAGAGAGAGAUCCCCCACAUUGGAACUGAGAUACGGUCCAGACUCCUACGGGAGGCAGCAGUAGGGAAUAUUGGACAAUGGGGGAAACCCUGAUCCAGCCAUUCCGCGUGUGCGAUGAAGGCCUUCGGGUUGUAAAGCACUUUUGGCAGGAAAGAAAUCGUGUGGGUUAAUACCCUGCGCGGAUGACGGUACCUGCAGAAUAAGCACCGGCUAACUACGUG
rnacentral:rRNA from 1 species